CUCACAGCAUAACUUAAGUGCACAUAUACAUUCGACUGGAGGAAAAAGUCGCUCUCUUACUUAGGGAUUAAACUCACUAAAUCAAUAAGCAUACUACAAAAAGAAAACCAUAUUCCUCUGAUUCAGAAACUCACAACACAAUUAACAUCAUGGGAAGACCUAGAGGUUUCCUGGAUAGGCCACAUCAACUCAAUUAAGAUGAUGAUUCUCCCG